rnacentral:rRNA from 1 species
CCUACGGGAGGCAGCAGUAAGGAAUAUUGGUCAAUGGACGGAAGUCUGAACCAGCCAUGCCGCGUGAAGGAUGAAGGCCCUCUGGAUUGUAAACUUCUUUUAUGUGGGAAGAAACCACUCUUAUCUAAGGGUGUUGACGGUACCAUAGGAAUAAGCACCGGCUAACUCCGUGCCAGCAGCCGCGGUAAUACGGAGGGUGCAAGCGUUAUCCGGAUUCACUGGGUUUAAAGGGUGCGUAGGCGGAUUAGUAAGUCCGUGGUGAAAUCUCCAAGCUUAACUUGGAAACUGCCGUGGAUACUAUUAGUCUUGAAUGUUGUGGAGGUUAGCGGAAUAUGUCAUGUAGCGGUGAAAUGCAUAGAUAUGACAUAGAACACCAAUUGCGAAGGCAGCUGGCUACACAAAUAUUGACGCUGAUGCACGAAAGCGUGGGGAUCAAACAGGAUUAGAUACCCUGGUAGUCCACGCCCUAAACGAUGAUUACUCGACAUUUGCGAUAUACAGUAAGUGUCUGAGCGGAAAGGCAUUAAGUAAUNCCACCUGGGAAGUACNGACC